CUCCAGUCACAGUAAAGCCGUUUCCUUUAGAAGAUCACCCAGUAUUUAAAAGCCUGUUUGGAAAGCUCCAUAUAAAUCAUGAGCUAUUUUUUGCUUCCCUUUAAUAUUUUAACAGUCAACUCUAAGAAGCCCAUUUAAUAGAACUUGAACAUUUAAAGCGGAUUUACUUAUAUUUUUAUAAUAAGAAACAACCAUAUAGCCGCCGAUUCAUCCGGUGUUUCUCAGCAGGGGUGCUAAUGGCCUCGGAGGGAUGUUAGCACCACUGGCUCCUGGGUGCUAAGCACCAGAAGCACCCCCUGCAAGUCUAUGACAAUCACAACUGCCCCCUCCCUCUGCAUACACACAUUCCAGCUGCCUCAGUCGGGCAGCCGUUGCUCUCACUUGAGAACACAAUUGCCUUAUGGGAAAGAAACCUGAGACCCAGGAAGGAGAAGGAUUUGCCCAAGGGCCUGCAUGGAAUUGGUAUUGGGUUAGGUUUCCAGGCUGAAGAGAAGGAAGAGAGCCUCAGACCACCUCAGAUGCUGGCUCACUGGAAGCUUACUGGAGAGAUCCAGAGCCACUCCCCUUACCGGGACUCCUUCUGCCUCAACUCUGUGCUCCAGCGAACUGGACUGUUCACAGGAGGCAACUCGACCUGCCUACAUCACCUCCACCCGUGGAAAUCCUAGCCAUUUCCUUGCCAAUAGCCACCCUUUCCUCUCUGCUUACUAUGUGCCAGACAGCGCGCCCCCAGCACGCCAUAGUGCAUCAUCCGGUGUGACCCCACCACAACCCAGGAAGUGAGUGA
rnacentral:lncRNA from 1 species